CCCGAGGAGGAGGGGUGUAAACGAAUCAAAUGAAUGGUGUAACACUGAACUUUGAAACCCAGUGUACAUUCAGUGGAAGAACAGGUUAAACUUUUAAAGCCAAAGCAUAUUGGGUAUAGCAUGCAAAAGGGAGAAUAAAUAGCACCAGAAGGGGUGUACUUUGGAAGGAAAGAAAAG